rnacentral:rRNA from 1 species
ACUCCUACGGGAGGCAGCAGUGGGGAAUAUUGCACAAUGGGGGAAACCCUGAUGCAGCCAUGCCGCGUGUGUGAAGAAGGCCUUCGGGUUGUAAAGCACUUUCAGUAGGGAGGAAGGUAUGUAGUUACAUACCUGCAUUAUUGAUCGUUUACCUUAACAGAAAGAACGCAACCGGCUAACUCCCGGUGCCAGCAGCCGCGGUAAUACGGAGGGUGCGAGCGUUAAUCGGAAUUACUGGGCGUAAAGCGCAUGCAGGCGGCCUGUUAAGUCAGAUGUGAAAGCCCGGGGCUUAACCUCGGAAUUGCAUUUGAAACUGGCAGGCU